rnacentral:lncRNA from 10 species
GCCAGCAGAAAAGCCCAGUUGUUCAAUAUCUACUCUGUGACUGAAGAAAGAUCUCAGAGGUUGGAGUUCCUGAAAAGCAAAGACAGAGAUUAGUGUGCAGGAGGUAUAUUAGGAAUACUCUUGAGAUCAAUACCUGUGAAAGAGAAGGGAAGAAAGCAGGAUUUGGCAGAGAACUGAGGUGUGUUUGAAACUGGAAUGAUCCUUCAGAGUUUUCCUGAGUUGAGUAGGACAUCAUCCCAUUAUAAGGGCUACACCCUCGUGACCUAACUGCCACCCUAAGGCUCCACUUCUAAUUACCAACACAUUGAGGGUUAAAAUUUCAACAUAUGAAUUUGGCACGGACUGGGAGCUCCUUAGAGCAGUGGAUUGGUCAUCUCUGCCUCCCCAGGGACAUGGACAGUAAGCAUUCGUUAAAAUGAAUGUUCAUGUACUUUUCUAGAAGAAGAGAGUGCUUCCAAGACCUGAAGCCCAGUAUACUCUGCCCCAAGGCCUGGGAGGGAGAAACCUACUCAAGCUCUCUAAAGACUUUGUUGAGUUAAAAAUAUUAUGGCUGCUUUAAAAUAUCUGAAGAGCUUCUAUGUAGAGGAUGAAUAAAAUUCAGUUCUUCUCUGUGGUUACAAAAGUGAAAACAAUCUGUAGAAUCUACAGGGAGAUAGAUUUAAGCGAAAGAGCAAACUUCUUAUCCAGCCAUCCUUAGGUUCUCCAAAAUCUGGUCAUGACCUAUCCACCCAGCUGAAUCUCUCCCUACCUAUGCAUGGUAACACUACUCUUGUCAAACGUCAAUACUGACUUCUCCCAGGACAAGCCUUAUGCUUCAGUUUUGGCCCCCUCUCCUGUCUCUGAUUGUCUAAAUCUUAUUUCUAUCCUUCAAAGACCAGAUAAAAUGGCACCCUCCAUGAGGUUCAUCAUACUUCC